AGCGAACGCUGGCGGCAGGCCUAACACAUGCAAGUCGAACGAACUCUUCGGAGUUAGUGGCGGACGGGUGAGUAACACGUGGGAACGUGCCUUUAGGUUCGGAAUAACUCAGGGAAACUUGUGCUAAUACCGAAUGUGCCCUUCGGGGGAAAGAUUUAUCGCCUUUAGAGCGGCCCGCGUCUGAUUAGCUAGUUGGUGAGGUAAAGGCUCACCAAGGCGCCGAUCAGUAGCUGGUCUGAGAGGAUGAUCAGCCACAUUGGGAAUGAGACACGGCCCAAACUCCUACGGGAGGCAGCAGUGGGGAAUCUUGCGCAAUGGGCGAAAGCCUGACGCAGCCAUGCCGGGUGAAUGAUGAAGGUCUUAGGAUUGUAAAAUUCUUUCACCGGGGACGAUAAUGACGGUACCCGGAGAAGAAGCCCCGGCUAACUUCGUG
rnacentral:rRNA from 1 species